rnacentral:rRNA from 1 species
GGUCCUACGGGGGGCAGCAGUGAGGAAUAUUGGUCAAUGGCCGAGAGGCUGAACCAGCCAAGUCGCGUGAGGGAAGACGGCCCUACGGGUUGUAAACCUCUUUUGUCGGGGAGCAAAGCGAACCACGUGUGGUUCAUUGAGAGGACCCGAAGAAAAGGCAUCGGCUAACUCCGUGCCAGCAGCCGCGGUAAUACGGAGGAUGCGGGCGUUAUCCGGAUUUAUUUGGUUUAAAGUGUGCGCAGGCGGAGGGGCAAGUCAGCGGU